rnacentral:rRNA from 1 species
GCCUGAAUCAGUGUGUGUGUUAGUGGAAGCGUCUGGAAAGGCGCGCGAUACAGGGUGACAGCCCCGUACACAAAAAUGCACAUACUGUGAGCUCGAUGAGUAGGGCGGGACACGUGGUAUCCUGUCUGAAUAUGGGGGGACCAUCCUCCAAGGCUAAAUACUCCUGACUGACCGAUAGUGAACCAGUACCGUGAGGGAAAGGCGAAAAGAACCCCGGCGAGGGGAGUGAAAAAGAACCUGAAACCGUGUACGUACAAGCAGUGGGAGCCUCUUUAUGGGGUGACUGCGUACCUUUUGUAUAAUGGGUCAGCGACUUAUAUUCUGUAGCAAGGUUAACCGAAUAGGGGAGCCGAAGGGAAACCGAGUCUUAACUGGGCGUUAAGUUGCAGGGUAUAGACCCGAAACCCGGUGAUCUAGCCAUGGGCAGGUUGAAGGUUGGGUAACACUAACUGGAGGACCGAACCGACUAAUGUUGAAAAAUUAGCGGAUGACUUGUGGCUGGGGGUGAAAGGCCAAUCAAACCGGGAGAUAGCUGGUUCUCCCCGAAAGCUAUUUAGGUAGCGCCUCGUGAAUUCAUCUCCGGGGGUAGAGCACUGUUUCGGCAAGGGGGUCAUCCCGACUUACCAACCCGAUGCAAACUGCGAAUACCGGAGAAUGUUAUCACGGGAGACACACGGCGGGUGCUAACGUCCGUCGUGAAGAGGGAAACAACCCAGACCGCCAGCUAAGGUCCCAAAGUCAUGGUUAAGUGGGAAACGAUGUGGGAAGGCCCAGACAGCCAGGAUGUUGGCUUAGAAGCAGCCAUCAUUUAAAGAAAGCGUAAUAGCUCACUGGUCGAGUCGGCCUGCGCGGAAGAUGUAACGGGGCUAAACCAUGCACCGAAGCUGCGGCAGCGACACUAUGUGUUGUUGGGUAGGGGAGCGUUCUGUAAGCCUGCGAAGGUGUACUGUGAGGUAUGCUGGAGGUAUCAGAAGUGCGAAUGCUGACAUAAGUAACGAUAAAGCGGGUGAAAAGCCCGCUCGCCGGAAGACCAAGGGUUCCUGUCCAACGUUAAUCGGGGCAGGGUGAGUCGACCCCUAAGGCGAGGCCGAAAGGCGUAGUCGAUGGGAAACAGGUUAAUAUUCCUGUACUUGGUGUUACUGCGAAGGGGGGACGGAGAAGGCUAUGUUGGCCGGGCGACGGUUGUCCCGGUUUAAGCGUGUAGGCUGGUUUUCCAGGCAAAUCCGGAAAAUCAAGGCUGAGGCGUGAUGACGAGGCACUACGGUGCUGAAGCAACAAAUGCCCUGCUUCCAGGAAAAGCCUCUAAGCAUCAGGUAACAUCAAAUCGUACCCCAAACCGACACAGGUGGUCAGGUAGAGAAUACCAAGGCGCUUGAGAGAACUCGGGUGAAGGAACUAGGCAAAAUGGUGCCGUAACUUCGGGAGAAGGCACGCUGAUAUGUAGGUGAAGCGACUUGCUCGUGGAGCUGAAAUCAGUCGAAGAUACCAGCUGGCUGCAACUGUUUAUUAAAAACACAGCACUGUGCAAACACGAAAGUGGACGUAUACGGUGUGACGCCUGCCCGGUGCCGGAAGGUUAAUUGAUGGGGUUAGCGGUAACGCGAAGCUCUUGAUCGAAGCCCCGGUAAACGGCGGCCGUAACUAUAACGGUCCUAAGGUAGCGAAAUUCCUUGUCGGGUAAGUUCCGACCUGCACGAAUGGCGUAAUGAUGGCCAGGCUGUCUCCACCCGAGACUCAGUGAAAUUGAACUCGCUGUGAAGAUGCAGUGUACCCGCGGCAAGACGGAAAGACCCCGUGAACCUUUACUAUAGCUUGACACUGAACAUUGAGCCUUGAUGUGUAGGAUAGGUGGGAGGCUUUGAAGUGUGGACGCCAGUCUGCAUGGAGCCGGCCUUGAAAUACCACCCUUUAAUGUUUGAUGUUCUAACGUUGGCCCCUGACCGGGGUUGCGGACAGUGUCUGGUGGGUAGUUUGACUGGGGCGGUCUCCUCCUAAAGAGUAACGGAGGAGCACGAAGGUUGGCUAAUCCUGGUCGGACAUCAGGAGGUUAGUGCAAUGGCAUAAGCCAGCUUGACUGCGAGCGUGACGGCGCGAGCAGGUGCGAAAGCAGGUCAUAGUGAUCCGGUGGUUCUGAAUGGAAGGGCCAUCGCUCAACGGAUAAAAGGUACUCCGGGGAUAACAGGCUGAUACCGCCCAAGAGUUCAUAUCGACGGCGGUGUUUGGCACCUCGAUGUCGGCUCAUCACAUCCUGGGGCUGAAGUAGGUCCCAAGGGUAUGGCUGUUCGCCAUUUAAAGUGGUACGCGAGCUGGGUUUAGAACGUCGUGAGACAGUUCGGUCCCUAUCUGCCGUGGGCGCUGGAGAACUGAGGGGGGCUGCUCCUAGUACGAGAGGACCGGAGUGGACGCAUCACUGGUGUUCGGGUUGUCAUGCCAAUGGCACUGCCCGGUAGCUAAAUGCGGAAGAGAUAAGUGCUGAAAGCAUCUAAGCACGAAACUUGCCCCGAGAUGAGUUCUCCCUGACUCCUUGA